UACAGGGGAGUACACUCUUACAGGGGAGUACACUCUUACAGGGGAGUACACUCCUACAGGGGAAUACACUCUUACACUGGGGAGUACACUCUUACAGAGAAGUAACACUCAUACAGGGGAGUACACUCUUACAGGGGAGUACACUCUUACAGGGGAGUACACUGUUACAGGGGAGUACACUUUUACAGGGAGGGUACACUCUUACAGGGGAGUACACUCUUACACAGGGAAUACACUCUUACAGGGGGGUACACUCUUACAGGAAAGUACACUCCUACAGGGGAAUACACUCGUACACAGGGGAGUGUACCUGACAUUUGAGUGCACCCUAGAAUAUAUAUUUCUUCUGUUAUAUCAUAGUAAUGCAGUUUAUUUUUGAAAUUUAUAGAACAAUGUAUUUUCAUAAUCAUGCUGGAAUACCCUUCAUGUAGACCAUGCAUUUUGACAAUGGUAAAAAUUCUUUCAUCACAAAAUAUUGAUGCUAAUUUGUCAUAAGUAACAGCAAUUAAAUAAACUAGAAUCAUGUUAUCCAAACUUAAGAGAUGUUAUUGGUAAAAGUAUUUGCUACUCUAUCAACAAGGUUAACAUGGUUACAUGAAAAUACCAUCUGGCAAUGAAUAAUCACUAAAUUACUUAAAGUAUAUAAUAUUUCAUACUGCAGUAAUAAAAUAUCUUUAUAAUAUUACUAUUACAUUAUUAGAAAUAAAAUUAGUAUGCUGAAAACAACAGUUCUAUUUUUAUUUCAUCAGGCAAAGAACAAAAAUAUAUAUCUCAUUAUUCAAAAUAACUAUCAGUUUUAAGCAUCCUUGGAAAAAUAUAUGUAACUUAAGACAACCUUUAAUUUAGUAUUCAUUUAUAUGUAAAUAUUAAUAUGGUAAAUCUAACAAGAACUGUAAAAUGAUUAGUCUAUGAACAUACUAAAAGCAUCAUAUGGGACAUAAUGAUAUUCUAAUGUGUGAUCAAUAAAAGAGUCCCUCAGUGAUCAUCAAUUAACACCACAGAGUCCCUCAGUGAUCAUCAAUUAACACCACAGAGUCCCUCAGUGAUCAUCAAUUAACACCACAGAGUCCCUCAGUGAUCAUCAAUUAACACCACAGAGUCCCUCGGUGAUCAUCAAUUAACACCACAGAGUCCCUCAGUGAUCAUCAAUUAACACCACAGAGUCUCUCAGUGAUCAUCAAUUAACACCACAGAGUCCCUCAGUGAUCAUCAAUUAACACCAGAGUCACUCAGUGAUCAUCAAUUAACACCGCAAAAUUAACUCCGAGUUUUCACAAUGCGUUGUCUAAUUACUGGUGUUUAUCAACUCAAAAGAGUUGAUCUUGCUAGUAUUUACAGGUUUAAUAUUAACUGAUGAUAUUGACUACAAUCCUAUAACGUGCCACUAAAGUCAAUUGCUCCAUUAAACAACUUUGUAAAGUAAUAAUUAAGAUAGUGAACUUUAUCAUAUGUAUGGGGACAACACCAUCUACAAAUGUGUUAUCUGACUAUAACUAAUUCUGCCACAAUCAAGAUCUUGAUUUAUGUUAAAUUGAACUUUACAUUCUAAUUACAUAAUGUUAGAAAUACAAGUUAUUCACCCGGACAUAUUGUGGUCUAGUGUUUGUUUUCAAUGAGAUUCACAAUUAGAAAACAACCAAGAAAAAAAUAUAAAAAACACUUCAUCAAACAGUUCAGAAACUUUCUGUUGCAUAAAUGUCAUCAACAACUAUCUUUACCUAUUACAGAGUCUCAAUUUUUUUCUCCAAGAGUGAAAUAGUACAC